rnacentral:misc_RNA from 1 species
CCGGGAUAUUGAUUUUUUUGUUGUAAAAAGCAAAAAGAUUAUUCCUUUGACCCUUUUUUGUUUAUUCAAAAAAAUGUUAUUUCUUCGGUGAGACGUCUUUUUUUGAUCAAAUCAAAAAAAGCUAUUGAUAUUUUGUUUUACUCAAACAAAUAUGAAUAUGUUGCUUACCGAAGUCCUAAACUUUACUCUUUUAUUUGAAGUCUGAGACAAAAACAAAAAAUAAAUUA